CGGGAGUGCCGUGUCUCCAAUAAGUGGGCUGUGGUCUGGUCCACAGUUAAAAAAGGAAUUGUUUGACAGAAGAUAUUUUGAAACUCAGUUUAGGAAAUAACCAAUUCAUAGAUUAAAUUGUUUGUUAAUUCUACAGAAAAGUGAUUGAGUUGUGCACAUUACGGUUCACAGUAUCAAUAUGUCAGUAGAAAAUGAUAUUUUUUAUAACAGUGAACUUCAAUUACCUCAGGAUUUUGAAGAUGAUGUGGUUCAAGAAGUUCUCAAGACUGGUACUGAUCUUCGACAGUAUUCGAGACAAAUCGAGAAAGAACUGAAAGAGGUUGAAAAUAGAUCUAUUCAAGAUUAUAUCAAAGAAAGUCAGAAUAUAGCUAGUCUACAUAACCAGAUAGCUGCGUGUGAUAAUAUUUUGGAGUGAAGAUGAUAUUGUUAUGAAAGAGCUGACAGACAUGGUUAAUUUAAAUUGAUCCUAAAAUAGGUAACUGACAAUGGAUAUUUUGUUCAGCUCCUAUAGCCAAUGUAUUAUACAAGUUCAAUCUAGAUGAUCGAUAAUGUGUAAAAAUAGGUGAUAGUAUGCAAAGUUUUAACAUUGGUUGUUCAUUUUGGAUCAUUGACAUAUUACAUGACAGUACCUUAAGGACUUACAAAAUUUCAUGCUCUACCAAUGACAUGUCUAUGUGAAGCCAUUUUUACGAUUACUAUUUCAUGUUGUAAAUGAAAUUUCAUGCAUUUAUAAAUACAGAACACAUGUAUGUUAUCGGUUCCAUGGCUAGAGACAGCAGUGGAUUUUCUAUGUAGUCAUUCUAUUACUAUCGAUAGUAUUGAUAGAAAAUACUGUAUAUUAUAUAUAUCAAUAUCAAACAAUUAUGCAGGAAUUUGGUAUGUCAUGAUGUAUUUUUCAAAGUAUUCUAUAUGAAUCAUAAUAUAAAUUAUGCUAUGAAAUUCUUUUGGAAGAAAUUAUUGGUGCAAACCUUAUGAAGGCAUGGGUUAAAAGGUAGGGCAUUCAUAGUUCUCAAUCUGUUGAAAAACCACUUUGAAUUUGUGGACCAACUAUAAAUCAAACACAAUGUGUCAUACCCAAUUCAUACAGCAUGUUUUCAGCAAACAAACAAGGAAUAUAA